ACGGAGGGUGCAAGCGUUGUUCGGAUUUAUUGGGCGUAAAGCGCGUGUAGGCGGUUUGUUAAGUCUGAUGUGAAAGCCCUGGGCUCAACCUGGGAAGUGCAUUGGAAACUGGCAGACUUGAAUACGGGAGAGGGUAGUGGAACUGCGAGUGUAGAGGUGAAAUUCGUAGAUAUUCGCAAGAACACCAGUGGCGAAGGCGGCUCACUGGCCCAUAACUGACGCUGAGGCACGAAAGCGUGGGGAGCAAACAG
rnacentral:rRNA from 1 species